rnacentral:misc_RNA from 1 species
GAUGAAGAACGUAGCAAAAUGCGAUAAGUAAUGUGAAUUGCAGAAUUCAGUGAAUCAUCGAAUCUUUGAACGCACAUUGCGCCCGCCAGCAUUCUGGCGGGCAUGCCUGUUCGAGCGUCAUUUCAACCCUCGACCUCCCUUUGGGGAAGUCGGCGUUGGGGACCGGCAGCACACCGCCGGCCCUGAAAUGGAGUGGCGGCCCGUCCGCGGCGACCUCUGCGUAGUAAACCAACUCGCACCGGAACCCCGACGUGGCCACGCCGUAAAACACCCAACUUCUGAACGUUGACCUCGAAUCAGGUAGGACUACCCGCUGAACUUAAGCAUAUCAAUAAGCGGAGGA